CCCUUAGAUGUUCUGGGCUGCACGCGCGCUACACUGACGCACGCAACAGGUGCCUGCUCCGAGAGGACUGGGUAAUCAUUUGAGUGUGCGUCGUGAUGGGGAUAGAAUAUUGUAAUUAUUACUCUUCAACGAGGAAUUCCUAGUAAGCGCCAGUCAGCAGCUUGCGCUGAUUACGUCCCUGCCCUUUGUACACACCGCCCGUCGCUACUACCGAUUGAAUGGCUUAGUGAGCCUUUGGGAUUGGCAGCUUGUACCGGCAACGGUAGCAGGCCGCUGAAAACUUAGGCAAACUUGGUCAUUUAGAGGAAGUAAAAGUCGUAACA
rnacentral:rRNA from 1 species